AUUGAACGCUGGCGGCAUGCCUUACACAUGCAAGUCGAACGGUAACGGGCCUUCGGGUGCCGACGAGUGGCGAACGGGUGCGUAAUACAUCGGAACGUGCCCGAUCGUGGGGGAUAACGAGGCGAAAGCUUUGCUAAUACCGCAUACGAUCUACGGAUGAAAGCAGGGGACCGCAAGGCCUUGCGCGGACGGAGCGGCCGAUGGCAGAUUAGGUAGUUGGUGGGAUAAAAGCUUACCAAGCCGACGAUCUGUAGCUGGUCUGAGAGGAUGAUCAGCCACACUGGGACUGAGACACGGCCCAGACUCCUACGGGAGGCAGCAGUGGGGAAUUUUGGACAAUGGGCGCAAGCCUGAUCCAGUCAUGCCGCGUGCAGGAUGAAGGCCUUCGGGUUGUAAACUGCUUUUGUACGGAACGAAAAGCCUUCUUUUAAUACAGGAGGGUCAUGACGGUACCGUAAGAAUAAGCACCGGCUAACUACGUG
rnacentral:rRNA from 1 species